rnacentral:lncRNA from 1 species
CUUGCUUUAAUGUGUGAGGCACUGGGUUCCACUCUCAGCACCGCAUAUAGAUAAGCAAAAAAAGUCUAUCUUGGAAUUUAAUGGAAUACUGUCUUCAAGAUGCUAAGGAAAAGUAUCUGGGCAUUUAGAAUUUUACAAUGUCAAAUGAUUACUGAUGACUGAAUAAAAAUAAAGACGUUUUCAUACAAACAGGACCUACAGAGUUUACUGCCCAAAGACCUUUGGUGAAAGAAUUGCCAAGAACAUUUUUAAAAAGUGAACUUGGAGGAAUAGAAUACAAGAAUGAACAGUGAGCAAAGAAAUGGGGAGAAGAGCUGAAUCAUACUACCUGCAGCUUUGGUCAUAUGAAGAUAUUUUUUUUCUACUUCCGUUGGUUUACCUUUAGGUAAUAUUUUGAAUAAAUUUCUAUGUAUAUUUAGUUAUUUAAAAAUUUUUAUAAUAGUAAUAUGCU